AAAUUAAAAUCCAAAAAACAAUCUCGUUAUCCAGAUAGAGCAAAGCCAAGCCACCAGUUAGAGUAAGCCACCAGGCACCACCAACUCCAUUGAUACCACAAAGCACAAAGUGCUCUCACGACACGAGUCACCACGCACGCACGCACGGUCCGGUGUAGCAAAGCGACUCAGGUGGUUAAUUGACCAAAAUACCCCUAUUAAGUAUUGACUAAAAAAACAAACACAUAUCCCGAAGAUGGAUCUGAGUCUGCUGCAGCUACAGCUUCACGGCGUGUUAAUCAAAGGCCCGUCGUGUCGUUCUUAUUGGGCUUCUUCUUCUUCUUCUUCUUCUUCUUCCUCACUCUCUCGUCCUCGUGAUUUCAUUUCUUCUUCUCCGUUUCUUCUUCAUCGAAGACUCAAAUCAUUCGGAAG
rnacentral:lncRNA from 1 species